rnacentral:rRNA from 1 species
AUGGGAACUACUGUUGACCGUUCUGUAAAUGAUGAUAAUGGUCCAAAUAUAUACAAAAUAAACGGGCAGGUUUGUCAUCGAAUGGGAUCUCUUAUGCCUAAGGAAGGAAAUACCCCUAAGUAUGCUGAACUCUAUAUAUAUGAUACCCAGAAUGAGGUGCAAAACAAGAUUCAGGCUUUAGAAAAGGGUGAAAAGAGUGAUGGUGGUUUAGAUGAAUCUAUUGUUGAAGGCUUGAUGCAUAUGCUUGAUACACACAAUUCUUAUGUCAAAACGUUUAGAUCAGCUAGAGAAAUACUAGCAGCCAAUAAGCAUGCCGAGAUAGCCAUUCGUUUAGUUGCCCCUGGAAAAUCUGAUGGCCCACAGUUUAGCCUUCCUACAACUGAUGAGCUAGCAUCUUUAAUGUUUGGUGAGUUCACGGUGGAGUUGUCGUGA